rnacentral:misc_RNA from 1 species
UUUCCGUAGGUGAACCUGCGGAAGGAUCAUUAAAAAAUUGGACUCCAUUGGUGAGUUCAUUAAUAAUCCCUACCCUUUGUGAAUUUGUUUGUUUGAAUAAUUUUUUUUCCAAAAAAAAUUAUUGAAUGUCUUUCCUUGUUUUGGUGGAGCUUGUAAAGUGAAACCAGGCAGGGGAAUGGCAAACAAUAAUUAUUUUUGAAAAAGACCUUUUUUUAAAAUUAAACUUUUUGUAUUCAUUUGUCUAAAAUUAAUUUUUAUAAUAUAAAAACAACUUUUGACAAUGGAUCUCUUGGUUCUCGCAACGAUGAAGAACGCAGCAAAAUGCGAUAAGUAGUGUGAAUUGCAGAAUACGUGAAUCAUCGAAUCUUCGAACGCAUAUUGCACUUUUUUAGUUUACUAAAAAAGUAUGUCUGUUUGAGUAUCAGUAAAAUAUUCUCAUAAAAAACAUUGUUUUUUUUAUGGUUAUGAGUGUUUUACAACGAUAACAAGUUGUUUCACUUUAAAUUCUUUGUUAUCAAAAAAAUCAUUAAAAGCUAAUUUUAAAGAUUUUUUAAAAUUGGAUAAAAUUUUCCCGUAAAAAGGAAUAACCUAAACAAUUUUAAAAAAUUAAAAUUGGUUUGAUUUUUUUUGAAACCCAAAGGAAAAAAAAACGAAAUUAACUUGAUCUCAAAUCAGAUAAGAGUACCCGCUGAACUUAAGCAUAUCAAUAAGCGGAGGAAAAGAAACUAACUAGGAUUCCCUCAGUAACGGCGAGUGAAGCGGGAAGAGCUCAAAUUUGAAAUCUUCAAGGUUUUACCUUGACGAAUUGUAGUUUAAAGAAGUGUUUUCUGUUGGAGUUUUGGUAAAAGUUCUUUGGAAAAGGACAUCAUAGAGGGUGAGAAUCCCGUAUUUGACCAUUAUCUCCAGCUUUGUGAUACACUUUCAAAGAGUCGGAUUGUUUGGGAAUGCAGUCCAAAAUGGGUGGUAAAUUUCAUCUAAAGCUAAAUACUGGCGAGAGACCGAUAGCGAACAAGUACCGUGAGGGAAAGAUGAAAAGAACUUUGAAAAGAGAGUUAAACAGUACGUGAAAUUGUCAAAAGGGAAGCGUUUGACACCAGUGUUGUUUUCUCGAAAAUCAAUUAAAAAAGGCCGGAUUUUGUGUUGUAUUGACUUUAUCAGCUUUCUGCACUCUUUUCUUGUCUUUUUUAAUGCACUUUUCGUUUAACAAGUCAACAUCAAUUUCUUUUGUUGUAAAAGGGUCAUUGGAAGGUGGCUUUCUUUUCGGAGAAAGUGUUUAUAGCCUUUGGCCUCUGCAAUCGGAGAGAUUGAGGUCUGCAGCGUAGAUCCUUCGGGGUUAGAUACAUUUGUGCUAAGUUAUAGCCUUUCAUAGACAACUUGUUGACUAUGAUCAGUCAUGUAGCUUACUCGCUUAUGCUAUUUUACCUACGCUUAGGAUGUUG